rnacentral:rRNA from 1 species
GAUGAACGCUGGCGGCGUGCCUAAUACAUGCAAGUCGAGCGAACAGACGAGGAGCUUGCUCCUCUGACGUUAGCGGCGGACGGGUGAGUAACACGUGGAUAACCUACCUAUAAGACUGGGAUAACUUCGGGAAACCGGAGCUAAUACCGGAUAAUAUAUUGAACCGCAUGGUUCAAUAGUGAAGGACGGUUUUGCUGUCACUUAUAGAUGGAUCCGCGCCGCAUUAGCUAGUUGGUAAGGUAACGGCUUACCAAGGCAACGAUGCGUAGCCGACCUGAGAGGGUGAUCGGCCACACUGGAACUGAGACACGGUCCAGACUCCUACGGGAGGCAGCAGUAGGGAAUCUUCCGCAAUGGGCGAAAGCCUGACGAAGCAACGCCGCGUGAGUGAUGAAGGUCUUCGGAUCGUAAAACUCUGUUAUUAGGGAAGAACAAAUGUGUAAGUAACUAUGCACGUCUUGACGGUACCUAAUCAAAAAGCCACGGCUAACUACGUG